GACGAACGCUGGCGGCGUGCUUAAUACAUGCAAGUCAACGACUUUUAGAGUAGCAAUAUUCUAAAGGAAGUGGCGCACGGGUGAGUAACACGUAGGUAAUCUGCCUUCAGGACUGACACAACUCGUCGAAAGACGGGCUAAUAUCAGAUAAUGCAGCGGCUCCGCAUGGAGACAGUUGUUAAAGUACAAGCGCCUGAAGAUGAGCCUGCGGUCCAUUAGCUAGUUGGUAGAGUAAAAGCCUACCAAGGCAACGAUGGAUAGCUGGUCUGAGAGGAUGAUCAGCCACACUGGAACUGAGACACGGUCCAGACUCCUACGGAGGCAGCAGUAAGGAAUAUUGCUCAAUGGCCGAAAGGCUGAAGCAGUAACGCCGCGUGAAGGAUGAAUGGCCUUUGGCCUGUAAACUUCUGUAAAAAGGGAAAACAGUCAGUAUAUCUGAUUGAUUGUACCUUGUAAGUAAGU
rnacentral:rRNA from 1 species